CAGUCGCCGCGGGAAUACGUAGGGUGCAAGCGUUAAUCGGAAUUACUGGGCGUAAAGCGUGCGCAGGCGGUUUUGUAAGACAGAGGUGAAAUCCCCGGGCUCAACCUGGGAACUGCCUUUGUGACUGCAAGGCUAGAGUACGGCAGAGGGGGAUGGAAUUCCGCGUGUAGCAGUGAAAUGCGUAGAUAUGCGGAGGAACACCGAUGGCGAAGGCAAUCCCCUGGGCCUGUACUGACGCUCAUGCACGAAAGCGUGGGGAGCAAACAGGAUUAGAUACCCGUGUAGUCCCUGUCUCUUAUAC
rnacentral:rRNA from 1 species